ensembl:lncRNA
GGCAUGUUUCCAACAUAUUUCUCCCCCCCUGUCUCUCUGGUUCGUCCUCUCCUCCAUCACUAUCACGCUUAACGUGGCUGUGAUGGAGGGAAACAGGGAGGCAAUCUUUUGUGUCUUCAGCAGACGGAAAAGCAAAGAGACUCUGACCAGCUGCAAGAGCCAUCAGGAACCGACAGACCAAGGACGGCUUUGACAGAAGAUGCGAAGCAGAGGUUGUCUGAAGAGGUCUGCGACACCAUCCUGGCUCACACCAAAGCGAGUACUCCCCCUGCCACCGAACCCCUGCCUGCCUGACUACCCGCCUGUUGUCGAGUCCUUGCCUGCCUGACUCUCCUGGGUCAGCAUGACCAGAUCCUGCAGGAGAUCACUUCCAACCUCCGCGAGUUGACCAUUUCAGUACGCUCCCAGCACCCCGUCUCUCCGGAACCAUCAUCCUCAGUUCCUGGUCCAUCGGCU